rnacentral:rRNA from 1 species
UACGAAGGGGGCUAGCGUUGUUCGGAAUCACUGGGCGUAAAGCGCACGUAGGCGGAUGUGCCAGUCAGGGGUGAAAUCCCGGAGCUCAACUUCGGAACUGCCUCUGAUACAGCACGUCUUGAGUCCGGAAGAGGUGAGUGGAACUGCGAGUGUAGAGGUGAAAUUCGUAGAUAUUCGCAGGAACACCAGUGGCGAAGGCGGCUCACUGGCCCGAUACUGACGCUGAGGUGCGAAAGCGUGGGGAGCAAACAGG